AUAACCUCAGUGCAUAAUAUGUUUGUGCCAUUUUGUCCCAGACGAAUUACAAUAACAAUAAUGCAUAAACAAGCUUCAAGGCUAUGCUACGACUCUUGCAGUACACAAUAUACUGUGGUAACCCCAAGUUAAUGGAACUUCCCCAAAUCCUGGAAUCUCCCACGACUGUACACUUACGACUUAGUAUAAACAACAGAUAACCUAUUCAGACUUUAAGAUGCCAUCUUGAACUAAGUCAGAAAAAUUUCCAUGACAUAUGCACCCUUUAGUUAUGGCCUUGUAUGUUUGCCAAAUUAAGGGAGGUCCUAAAAUGAAUAAAGUAAAUGAACAACAGUAACCCUAAAAUGGAGACACCUAAGGUAUAAAUAGGUGUACUUUUAAAUGUUAAGACACAGAGGAGAGACUUGGAGACAGACGCUGCUCCAUCUUAAAAUGACAGAGAGGC